rnacentral:rRNA from 1 species
UACGGGGGGGGCUAGCGUUGUUCGGAAUUACUGGGCGUAAAGGGCUCGCAGGCGGCCAACUAAGUCGGACGUGAAAUCCCUCGGCUUAACCGGGGAACUGCGUCUGAUACUGGAUGGCUCGAAUCCGGGAGAGGGAUGCGGAAUUCCAGGUGUAGCGGUGAAAUACGUAGAUAUCUGGAGGAACACCGGUGGCGAAGGCGGCAUCCUGGACCGGUAUUGACGCUGAGGAGCGAAAGCCUGGGGAG